GUGCCAGCCGCCGCGGUAAUACGGAGGGUGCAAGCGUUAAUCGGAAUUACUGGGCGUAAAGGGCACGCAGGCGGUUAAUUAAGUUGAAUGUGAAAUCCCCGAGCUUAACCUGGGAAUAGCAUUCAAGACUGAUUAGCUAGAGUCUUGUAGAGGGGGGUAGAAUUCCAUGUGUAGCGGUGAAAUGCGUAGAGAUGUGGAGGAAUACCAGUGGCGAAGGCGGCCCCCUGGACAAAGACUGACGCUCAUGUGCGAAAGCGUGGGGAGCAAACAGGAUUAGAUACCCUGGUAGUCCACGCUGUAAACAAUGUCGAUUUGGAGGUUGUGGUCAUAAACUGUGGCCUCCGAAGCUAACGCGUUAAAUCGACCGCCUGGGGAGUACGGCCGCAAGGUUAAAACUCAAAGGAAUUGACGG
rnacentral:rRNA from 1 species